ACUCCUACGGGAGGCAGCAGUGGGGAAUAUUGCGCAAUGGGCGAAAGCCUGACGCAGCAACGCCGCGUGCGGGAUGACGGCCUUCGGUUGUAACCGCUUUCAGCAGGGAAGAAGCGAAAGUGACGGUACCUGCAGAAGAAGCACCGGCUAACUACGUGCCAGCAGCCGCGGUAAUACGUAGGGGUGCAAGCGUUGUCCGGAUUUAUUGGGCGUAAAGAGCUCGUAGGCGGUCAGUCGCGUCGGAUGUGAAAACCCGGAGCUUAACUCCGGGGCCUGCAUUCGAUACGGGCUGACUAGAGUGUUGUAGGGGAGACUGGAACUCCUGGUGUAGCGGUGAAAUGCGCAGAUAUCAGGAAGAACACCGGUGGCGAAGGCGGGUCUCUGGGCAACUACUGACGCUGAGGAGCGAAAGCGUGGGGAGCAAACAGGAUUAGAUACCCUGGUAGGAUAGCG
rnacentral:rRNA from 1 species